UAAAAAAAAAAUUAGUAUAAUUUCUUAAUUAAUAAAAAUAAUUUUUAAUAAAAUAUUUAUGGGGGUUUAAGUAUUUUUUAAAGAAAAAAUUUUUUAAUUUAUAGUGAAAUAGUAUUGUGAAAGAAUUUUGAAAUAUUUGAAAAUAAAUUUUUAUUUAAGUAAAUUUUAUUUAUUGUAUCUUGUGUAUCAGAGUUUAUUAAAGAAAAUAUUUUAGUUGAAAAUUUUCUCGAAUUUAAAAGAGUUAAUUAAUUAAUAAAUUUACUGUAACAAAAGUAUUUUUCAUAGUUAAUUAGAAAUGAAAUGUUAAUCGUUUUUAAAUAUAUCUAGUUUUUUUAGAAAAAAAUUUAAUUUUAAAUUUAUUUAAUAAAAAUAUUAAUUAAAAAAUAUUUUUAAAAUAGAAUUUAAUAUGUUAAGGGAUAAGCUUUAAUUUAUAAUAUUAUAAUAAUAUAUUUAUUUAAUUUGAAAAUUUUAAAAUUUAUAUUGUUUUUAAAUUAUAAUUUUUUAUAAAUAAUUUCAUUAAAAAUAAAAUUUAAUUAAAAUUUAAUUUUUUAUAAAAAAAAUAAAAUUUAAUAGUAAAUUUUUAAUUAUAAUGAUAAAAUUAGUAUAAUAAAUAAUGUUUUUAUGUAAAAAAAAAUAAAAUUAAUAAUAUAAUUUUAUUAAUUAUUUUAAAUUAAUUAUAAGGAAUUCGGCAAAAUUUUAUAUUCACUUGUUUAACAAAAACAUGUCUUUUUGUUUAAUAAUUAAAAGUCUAAUCUGCCCACUGAUAAGAUAUUAAAGGGCUGCAGUAUUUUGACUGUACAAAGGUAGCAUAAUCAUUAGUCUCUUAAUUGGUGACUUGUAUGAAAGAUUGGAUGAGAUAUAUACUGUCUUAUUUUUAUUAGUAGAAUUUAAUUUUUUAGUUAAAAAGCUAAAAUAAAUUUAAAAGACGAGAAGACCCUAUAGAGUUUUAUAUAAAAUAAUAAUUAAAAAUUUUUUUAUUAAUUUUAAAUUGAAAUUAAAUUUUAUAUUUUGUUGGGGUGAUAAAAAAAUAAAAUAAACUUUUUUUAAUUAAUAUAUAUAUAUAUAUAUAUAUAUAUAUAUAUAUAUAUAUAUAUAUAUAUAUAUAUAUAUAUAUAAUUUUACAUAUAUAAAUGAAUAUUUGAUCCAUAAUUUGUGAUUAAAAGAUUAAAUUACCUUAGGGAUAACAGCGUAAUUUUUUUUUUUAGUUCAUAUAAAAAAAAAAGUUUGCGACCUCGAUGUUGGAUUAAGAUAAAAUUUAAAUGCAAAAGUUUAAAAUUUUGAUCUGUUCGAUCAUUAAAAUCUUACAUGAUCUGAGUUCAAACCGGUGUGAGCCAGGUUGGUUUCUAUCUUUAGAUAAAUGAAAUAUUUUAGUACGAAAGGAUCAAAUAUUUAAAAUAAUUUUAUAAUAAUGAAUAUUAAUAAAUUAAUAAUAAUAUAUAUAUAUAUAUAUAUAUAUAUAUAUAUAUAUAUAUAUAUAUAUAUAUAUAUAUUAUUAAAAAUAAAUUAAAUUAUAU
rnacentral:rRNA from 1 species